rnacentral:lncRNA from 13 species
CUGGGAGCUGGAGAGACUGUUAUCUCCUGCUUCUGGGCUCUGCCGAGGGCUGCCCUCCCUGCACAUCCGCAUUAGGAAUGCUGGGUCCCCCUAGAGUGAGCAGCAGAAGCAGCAGGAGCUGGCAAAGGUGCUCUUUGAGGAAGCAUUUUUUUUUUUUUUUAUUAAUUUUGAGACAGGGACAGGAUCUCUCUGUGUCAUCUAGGCUGGAAUACUGUGGCGAGAUUGCAUGAUCAUAGCUCAGCUCACUGAAGCCUCAAACUACUGGGCUCAAGUGAUCCUCCUGCCUAAGUCUCCUGAAUAUCUGGGACUACAGGCAUGUGCCAUCAUACCUGUCUAAUUUUUAAAUAAUUUUUUACAGAGAUGGGGUCUCACCAUGUUGCCCAGGCUGGUCUCAAACUGCUGGCCUCAAGUGAUCCUCCUGCCUCUGCCUUGCUCUGGAAUUACAGAGACAGGGUUUCACCAUGUUGGCCCAGCUGUUCUUGAACUCCUGACCUCAAAUGAUCUGCCUGCCUCCGCCUCCAAAAGUGUUGGGAUUACAUGCAUGAGCCACCACGCCUGGCUGCCUUCGUCAACACAUCUUUUCUGUGCUACACCCAGCGGUCUCCUGGGAGCGGCACUAUGCACUUCAUUAAUAAGAAGGGAUUAAAGAAAAAAGCCUCAGUCUCCUAAUACACUUGGAUAAUUUGGUGCCAUCCACAAGGCAAUAGACCCCUGCUGCCUAGAAGUCAUUAGAAAGGUACAAUUUCAUUACUUUUUACUGGCAGAGCCUUGAGUCAAAUACAAAAUAUGUUGUCUCAUAUGUAGGGGAAAAAAAGUGCUAAAGCUUUCAUUCACUUCAUGCCCCUAAAAACAGUAGAAUGCAAAAAUAUAUUUUAUGUUUUUCACAUUUAUAUUGCCUUCCUUUAGUAAUCCUUGAAAUCAUGCUUCCUAUUAAAUAUUGAGCAAAAUAAAGAUUAAAAGAAAAUUAUUUAUAUUCUUAAA